rnacentral:misc_RNA from 1 species
GAAAUGCGAUAAGUAAUGUGAAUUGCAGAAUUCAGUGAAUCAUCGAAUCUUUGAACGCACAUUGCGCCCGCCGGUAUUCUGGCGGGCAUGCCUGUUCGAGCGUCAUUUCAACCAUCAAGCCCCCGGCUUGUGUUGGGGACCUGCGGCUGCCCGCAGGCCCUGAAAAACAGUGGCGGGCUCGCUGUCACACCGAGCGUAGUAGCAUACAUUCUCGCUCAGGGCGUGCUGCGGGUCCCGGCCGUUAAACGACCUUCAUAACCCAAGGUUGACCUCGGAUCAGGUAGGAAGACCCGCUGAACUUAAGC